UCUUGCAUCUCAGGGAGUGAUGUCGCGAAUGUGAUAAGUCACGUUUUUCAGCAUGAGGACAACUCGAUGUAACACCACGCAGUGUCAUUAUUUUGAGUUUCAGCCAAAUGUGAGAACAUUAAGUUUCCUUGUACACUCUGUGCUGGUGACAAAGUACUAUCAAGCUUCAAAAACAAAAUGUCAAAUUUGAAGAAACAUUUGGAGUCGCAGCACAGCACAGUUCAGUUUACAGAGCAAGUCCCACCAGGUGGUGUUAAGCAAAGAGCUACAAGCGAAGUCGCGGCCUCGACUUCUGCAGGAGGUCCCCCACCACCCAAACAACAAAAGCUGGACUUCAGUGCAAAACAAAAAGUUUUAUAAAGUUGCCCAGAAAACACACCCAAUGUUUUGGAUUCCACUGUCAUGACAGCAGGUCACUUGCCAUUCCUCUUUUGUCACCGGUCUGACGUUUCCCAUCACCCUCAUGUGUCUUAUAGUUUGCGUCUCGUCAUAGCUCCAAUAACUAGUCUAAGUAUUGUAUUCAUUGUUGUUUUUUUUUCUCUGUUUAUCCUUUGCCUUUUUUUGGGUUUGUUAACUUUUUUUCAGUGCAGCACAGACUCGUAGUAUAUGUUUAUAGCCUUUUGUUUCCUGUGAUUGUGAGUGAUUUUCAUUUGUUAAAGUUUUACAGCUUGUGCAUUCCUUGGUUGAGUGAAUUUCUGUUGUACCUUUUCUAGCCUAGUCUCACAGUGUAGUUUAUUACAGUCUUUUAUUGUCCUCUAAGAGAGUGAUUUUGUUUUCUCUGGUUUUGUGGAGUUCCCACCAUUGGUGUGAUUUAUUUUGUGUUUUGGUUUCCUUAUUUAGUUAGUAGAUUGUCAGG